rnacentral:rRNA from 1 species
GAUGAACGCUGGCGGCGUGCCUAAUACAUGCAAGUCGAGCGAAUGGAUUAAGAGCUUGCUCUUAUGAAGUUAGCGGUGGACGGGUGAGUAACACGUGGGUAACCUGCCCAUAAGACUGGGAUAACUCCGGGAAACCGGGGCUAAUACCGGAUAACAUUUUGAACCGCAUGGUUCGAAAUUGAAAGGCGGCUUCGGCGGUCACUUAUGGAUGGACCCGCGUCGCAUUAGCUAGUUGGUGAGGUAACGGCUCACCAAGGAAACGAUGCGUAGCCGACCUGAGAGGGUGAUCGGCCACACUGGGACUGAGACACGGCCCAGACUCCUACGGGAGGCAGCAGUAGGGAAUCUUCCGCAAUGGACGAAAGUCUGACGGAGCAACGCCGCGUGAGUGAUGAAGGCUUUCGGGUCGUAAAACUCUGUUGUUAGGGAAGAACAAGUGCUAGUUGAAUAAGCUGGCACCUUGACGGUACCUAACCAGAAAGCCACGGCUAACUACGUGCCAGCCGCCGCGGUAA